ensembl:lncRNA novel transcript
GCCUACCCUCCACCCAGUGCUUGAACAUCCCUUCCCCCUCAUCACUCCGGGGAAGGAUCCUGCUCAACACCCAACUACUCAUUCAAACCUGGAACCCGAAACUUUAAUGAAGCGAGAUCAACUGGCAAGACAAAGCUCAGACGUCACCUCCAGAAGGUUUUCAUGGCUUGUGAUAAUCUGGCUUCACCUGUAUUCUACUUCAUGAGACAACUGACUAUCUCGUGGCCUCUUCCCUGUGGCCUCCAUCUCUCUUUGCAGCUCCAGUCCCUGGCACAUGCUUGGCACACAGCUCACUGCAGCUGCUCAAUGAGUUUUGUGGACUGGAUGUUUGCUUGUGGGAAGUGGAAGCAGGGACCAGAUGGAUGGGCAGAAGGAUUGUCCUAUUCAAAUAUGCACUGGUGGUCCUGUCUUGUGUUUGGGCACCAGUUGAAUCCAAGAGCUCUCAACCUGUGGAGUGUCGGAUGAAAUCUAUGGAAUCCCUCCUCAGAAAAGCAAAUGAACCCACACAAUGAUGGCGCAGUUUCAUUGUCAUCAGCCUCCUGAGGCGUAUCCACAAUCACCAGGUCAGAAAACCCUGCUCCUUCCUUGCAUUCAAUUGGGCACAUCACUAUCAAAUUAAUUUUUCUGAAACACGACAAAAUCUCAUCAGAAAUAUACCACACUUUGUUGUCCCAAA